GUUGCUUCAUAUGGUGAACACUCUUUGUUAUAUAACAAGUGAGGGAUGUUCAAGUUUCGGAAGCAUAGAUUAAUUGGGUAUCCUUGCCAGUUUUAAACAGCUUGAUGUAUUACAUUAAUUGUUGCAUCCUGAUACCUGUCUGCUGGUAAAUUC